rnacentral:tRNA from 1 species
GGGGGUGUAGCUCAUCUGGUAGAGCGCGUCGUUCGCAAUGACGAGGCAAGGGGUUCGAGCCCCCUCACCUCCA